UACAGAGGUCCCAAGCGUUGUUCGGAUUCACUGGGCGUAAAGGGUGCGUAGGUGGUGGGGUAAGUCGGAUGUGAAAGCUCGGAGCUCAACUCCGAAAUGGCAUUGGAAACUACCCUGCUAGAGGAUUGGAGGGGGGGACUGGAAUACUUGGUGUAGCAGUGAAAUGCGUAGAUAUCAAGUGGAACACCAGUGGCGAAGGCGAGUCCCUGGACAAUUCCUGACACUGAGGCACGAAAGCUAGGGGAGCAAACAGG
rnacentral:rRNA from 1 species